rnacentral:rRNA from 1 species
UAUCUGUGAGACUCAGAUUACUCCGAGCCAAUAAUCUAGCCCAACUUUGACCCUAUGACUGCCUAAAAACUUAAUUAAACAACUAAACCAUUUUUACAAUUUAGUAAAGGAGAUUAAAAAAUUUUUAUGGAGCUAUACUUAAGUACCGCAAGGGAAAGAUGAAAUAGAUGUGAAACAGAUAUUAAGCGCAAAAAAGUAAAGACUUUACCUUGUACCUUUUGCAUCAUGGUUUAACUAGUCUAAUCAAGCAAAAAGACCUAAAGUUUGACCCCCCGAAACCAAGUGAGCUACUUCAAGGCAGCUUUAUGAGCCAACCCGUCUCUGUUGCAAAAGAGUGGGAAGACCUUUAAGUAGGGGUGAUAGACCUACCGAACUUAGUGAUAGCUGGUUGCUUGGAAAACGGAUUUUAGUCCAACCUAAGAUUAUAAAAAUAUAUAAAAAUGUGAACUUAAUUUUAGAGCAAUUCAAGUAAGGUACAGCCUGCUUGAAACAGGAUACAACCUAAAAAUGUGGGUAAUUAAAUCUUUCUGCCAUAAAGUGGGCCUAAAAGCAGCCACCUUUUGAAUAGCGUCACAGCUUAAUCACAUACAGAUUUAAUAACAAAAAUUUUACCGAACCCCACCCUACUACCAAGCAAUUCUAUAUUUUUAUAGAACUUUUUAUGUUAAAACUAGUAACAAGAAGAACCCCUUCUCUUUAAUGCAAGCAUAAAUCAGCCAGGACCAACCACUGAUAAUUAACACCUAUGAACUAAUAGUAACAACACUUCAAGAAAACCUUACUUCAUCUUAUGUUAACCUAACACAAGAGCAUUUUAAGAAAGAUUAAAAGAAAAAGAAGGAACUCGGCAAACAUUAACCCCGCCUGUUUACCAAAAACAUCGCCUCUUGAUUCUAAUAAGAGGUCCAGCCUGCCCAGUGACUUUGUUCAACGGCCGCGGUAUCCUAACCGUGCGAAGGUAGCGUAAUCACUUGUUCUUUAAAUGAGGACUAGUAUGAAUGGCACCACGAAGGUUAUACUGUCUCCUUUAUCUAAUCAGUGAAACUAAUCUUCCCGUGAAGAAGCGGGAAUAAACAUAUAAGACGAGAAGACCCUAUGGAGCUUUAAACAAGUAUACAACUGCCUUUCCUAUUUUAAAAUUUCAGAAAACAAACCAUUAUUUAGGCAUUUUGAUAUAAAGUUUUAGGUUGGGGUGACCACGGAGAAAAAUGUAACCUCCGCAAUGAACGGGGCUUCCCCCCCCUUAACUAAGAGCUACGACCCUAAGAAUCAAUAAAUUGACAUCAAUUGACCCAAUAAAUUUGAUCAAUGAACCAAGUUACCCUAGGGAUAACAGCGCAAUCCACUUCAAGAGCCCCUAUCGACAAGUGGGUUUACGACCUCGAUGUUGGAUCAGGGUAUCCUAGUGGUGCAGCCGCU